AAACCAGCCAUGAAGUCCUUCCUUUAGUUAAAAGGUGAAAGUUCUCAAGAAAAAAAAAAGUAUGCUGAGAUUGCUAAGAUCUACAGUAAGAAUGAAUCUUCUAUCCAUGAAAUUGUGAAAAAGGACAAAGAAAUUUGUGCUAGUUUUGCUGCUGUACCUAAAACUACAAAAGUUACAGCCACAGUGUGGGCUAAGUGCCGAGCUGAAAUGGAAAAGGCAUUAAAGCCUAAUGAGGAGGUGACUAUCAUGAAGGUCUGGUGGUGAAGAUCUUGCAAGAAGGUGCCUUGUUUGAGAUCUUUCAAGGAAACACAGUACUCAAUAAAUUUUGGUGUACAGUUGAGCCUUGAGCAACAUGGAUUUGAACUGCAUGGGGCCACUUAAAUGUGCAUUUUCUUAUGACUCCGCUGCUCUUGAGACAGCAAGAUCAAGCCCCCUCCUCCUCAGCCAACUCAACGUGAAGACAAUGAAGAUCAAGGUCUUUAUG
rnacentral:lncRNA from 1 species